rnacentral:rRNA from 1 species
AGGACGAACGCUGGCGGCGUGCUUAACACAUGCAAGUCGAGCGGUAAGGCUCCUUCGGGAGUACACGAGCGGCGAACGGGUGAGUAACACGUGAGCAAUCUGCCCUUCACUUCGGGAUAACUCCGGGAAAACCGGUGCUAAUACCGAAUACGACCACUUCAGGCAUCUGAUGGUGGUGGAAAGUUCCGGCGGUGAAGGAUGAGCUCGCGGCCUAUCAGCUUGUUGGUGAGGUAAUAGCUCACCAAGGCAACGACGGGUA